rnacentral:rRNA from 1 species
UACAGAGGUCUCAAGCGUUGUUCGGAUUCAUUGGGCGUAAAGGGUGCGUAGGUGGCGCGCUAAGUCAGGUGUGAAAUUUCGGAGCUUAACUUCGAAACUGCAUUCGAUACUGCCGUGCUAGAGGACUGGAGAGGAGACUGGAAUUUACGGUGUAGCGGUGAAAUGCGUAGAUAUCGUAAGGAAGACCAGUGGCGAAGGCGGGUCUCUGGACAGUUCCUGACGCUGAGGCACGAAGGCCAGGGGAGCAAACGGG